CCAUGAAAAGGCACUAUAUUAGUGCAUUACAGUGAAUGGUACAUUAUUAAAAAGAAAAGAAAAAGCAUUACACUGCACGCAGCAUCAUAAUAGAUGAAUUCAAAGACCACCACCAGCAGCAGUGGCACCGGUAAAUCCUUGACCCACACCUGCACCAACUGCAGCUCCACUGGCAGCACUGCUGAAUCCUAACCCGCUUGCAGGUUCUGAUACGACAACAAAAUUUGUUCCAACUGCUCCAACUCCAGCUCCUAACCCGCUUGCAGGUUCUGAUACGACAACAAAAUUUCUUCCAACUGCUCCAACUCCAGAUCCUAACCCGCUUGCAGGUUCUGAUACGAUAAAACCACCGCUUGCAGGUUCUGAUACGAUAACAUAGUUUCUUCCAACUGCUCCACCUUCAUUCCCACUUGCUCCAACUCCAGAGACUACUUCGUCUUCUUUCAAGUUUCGACAUUCUGCUAUCCCUAUCACCAAAACAAAUAUCAUUACAACUGCACCCACAUUC
rnacentral:lncRNA from 1 species